rnacentral:rRNA from 1 species
UGGGGAAUUUUGGACAAUGGGCGCAAGCCUGAUCCAGCAAUGCCGCGUGCAGGAUGAAGGCCUUCGGGUUGUAAACUGCUUUUGUACGGAGCGAAAAGGUCUGCCCUAAUACGGUGGGCUCAUGACGGUACCGUAAGAAUAAGCACCGGCUAACUACGUGCCAGCAGCCGCGGUAAUACGUAGGGUGCAAGCGUUAAUCGGAAUUACUGGGCGUAAAGCGUGCGCAGGCGGUGAUGUAAGACAGGUGUGAAAUCCCCGGGCUUAACCUGGGAAUUGCAUUUGUGACUGCAUCGCUGGAGUGCGGCAGAGGGGGAUGGAAUUCCGCGUGUAGCAGUGAAAUGCGUAGAUAUGCGGAGGAACACCGAUGGCGAAGGCAAUCCCCUGGGCCUGUACUGACGCUCAUGCACGAAAGCGUGGGGAGCAAACA